AGGCCUGUAGCUCAAUUGGCAGAGCAGCGGUCUCCAAAACCGCAGGUUGUGGGUUCAAGUCCCGCCGGGCCUGCCA
rnacentral:tRNA from 1 species